rnacentral:rRNA from 1 species
UUUGCGUCGAAGGUAUACCGGUAAGGAGUGCUGGAGCGAAUAGAAGUGAGCAUGCAGGCAUGAGUAGCGAUAAUUAAUGUGAGAAUCAUUAACGCCGUAAACCCAAGGUUUCCUACGCGAUGCUCGUCAUCGUAGGGUUAGUCGGGUCCUAAGUCGAGUCCGAAAGGGGUAGACGAUGGCAAAUUGGUUAAUAUUCCAAUACCAACAUUAGUGUGCGAUGGAAGGACGCUUAGGGCUAAGGGGGCUAGCGGAUGGAAGUGCUAGUCUAAGGUCGUAGGAGGUUAUACAGGCAAAUCCGUAUAACAAUACUCCGAGAACUGAAAGGCUUUUUGAAGUCUUCGGAUGGAUAGAAGAACCCCUGAUGCCGUCGAGCCAAGAAAAGUUUCUAAGUUUAGCUAAUGUUGCCCGUACCGUAAACCGACACAGGUGGGUGGGAUGAGUAUUCUAAGGCGCGUGGAAGAACUCUCUUUAAGGAACUCUGCAAAAUAGCACCGUAUCUUCGGUAUAAGGUGUGGUUAGCUUUGUAUUAGGAUUUACUCCGAAAGCAAGGAAACUUACAACAAAGAGUCCCUCCCGACUGUUUACCAAAAACACAGCACUCUGCUAACUCGUAAGAGGAUGUAUAGGGUGUGACGCCUGCCCGGUGCUCGAAGGUUAAUUAAUGGGGUUAGCAUUAGCGAAGCUCUUGAUCGAAGCCCGAGUAAACGGCGGCCGUAACUAUAACGGUCCUAAGGUAGCGAAAUUCCUUGUCGGUUAAAUACCGACCUGCAUGAAUGGCGUAACGAGAUGGGAGCUGUCUCAAAGAGGGAUCCAGUGAAAUUGUAGUGGAGGUGAAAAUUCCUCCUACCCGCGGCAAGACGGAGAGACCCCGUGGACCUUUACUACAGCUUGACACUGCUAUUUGGAUAAGAAUGUGCAGGAUAGGUGGGAGGCUUUGAGUAUAUGACGCCAGUUGUAUAUGAGCCAUUGUUGAGAUACCACUCUUUCUUAUUUGGGUAGCUAACCAGCUUGAGUUAUCCUCAAGUGGGACAAUGUCUGGUGGGUAGUUUGACUGGGGCGGUCGCCUCCCAAAUAAUAACGGAGGCUUACAAAGGUUGGCUCAGAACGGUUGGAAAUCGUUCGUAGAGUAUAAAGGUAUAAGCCAGCUUAACUGCAAGACAUACAAGUCAAGCAGAGACGAAAGUCGGUCUUAGUGAUCCGGUGGUUCUGUGUGGAAGGGCCAUCGCUCAAAGGAUAAAAGGUACCCCGGGGAUAACAGGCUGAUCUCCCCCAAGAGCUCACAUCGACGGGGAGGUUUGGCACCUCGAUGUCGGCUCAUCGCAUCCUGGGGCUGGAGCAGGUCCCAAGGGUAUGGCUGUUCGCCAUUUAAAGCGGUACGCGAGCUGGGUUCAGAACGUCGUGAGACAGUUCGGUCCCUAUCUGCCGUGGGCGUAAGAAGAUUGAAGAGAUUUGACCCUAGUACGAGAGGACCGGGUUGAACAAACCACUGGUGUAGCUGUUGUUCUGCCAAGAGCAUCGCAGCGUAGCUAAGUUUGGAAAGGAUAAACGCUGAAAGCAUCUAAGCGUGAAGCCAACUCUAAGAUGAAUCUUCUCUAAGCUCUCUAGAAGACUACUAGUUUGAUAGGCUGGGUGUGUAAUGGAUGAAAGUCCUUUAGCUGACCAGUACUAAUAGAGCGUUUGGCUUAUCUUUAAUAAAGCAU